GAUGAACGCUGGCGAGAUGCUUUACACAUGCAAGUCGUACGAGAGUUUUAUACUCAAGUGGCGGACGGGUGAGUAACACGUAAGAAUUUACCUUUAGGAGGGGGACAACAACGAGAAAUUGUUGCUAAUACCCCAUAUGCUUUUGAGUGAAAUGGAAUUUUCCGCCUAAAGAGAAGCUUGCGGCUGAUUAGCUAGAUAGGGUGGUAAUGGCGCCCUAUGGCGACGAUCAGUAGCUGGUCUGAGAGGAUGGACAGCCACAUUGGGACUGAGACACGGCCCAAACUCCUACGGGAGGCAGCAGUGGGGAAUUUUCCGCAAUGGGCGAAAGCCUGACGGAGCAAUACCGCGUGAGGGAUGACGGCCUG
rnacentral:rRNA from 1 species